rnacentral:rRNA from 1 species
CCUACGGGGGGCAGCAGUGGGGAAUAUUGGGCAAUGGGGGGAACCCUGACCCAGCGACGCCGCGUGAGGGAAGAAGGUUUUCGGAUUGUAAACCUCUGUCCUUGGUGACGAUAAUGACGGUAGCCAAGGAGGAAGCCACGGCUAACUACGUGCCAGCAGCCGCGGUAAUACGUAGGUGGCAAGCGUUGUCCGGAUUUACUGGGUGUAAAGGGCGUGUAGCCGGGUUGACAAGUCAGAUGUGAAAUCCUGCGGCUUAACCGCAGAACUGCAUUUGAAACUGUUGAUCUUGAGUACUGGAGAGGCAG